rnacentral:misc_RNA from 1 species
GUUUAAAAAGCAUCAGUUCCAUUUCUUGAUGGCCCUGAACAAUGAACUUAGCUAUAUCUCGAGAAAUAAUAUAACCUGGUCCAUGUGCCCAUGGGGGAUAGAAAGCAGGCGGAUAUUCCUCAGGACUGAUAUACCACUUGUUUUCUUUAUCUCUGUGGGGUGUUGAUUCAAAAGAUAUCCCACCAUAUAAUAGACCAUUAGGAUCCUUUCCCUUGAGACUAGAUAGAACUUCAUCAAUCCUUACAAAAGCAUCAUCGUCCGUCUUCAUAACAUAUUUGGCAGGCAGAAUUUUUACACCCAUAAUGCAAAUUGCUAUGGUCUUCACAGUGAGCAGGCUGUAGUAAUCAACAAAAGGCAAUAGUUGGAUAUCUCCAUAGGCUUGUGCUUCCUUCCAUAGCUCAAAAUUGACCUGCCUAUUUUUGUCAAGACCAAUAAAAAAUCGGACAGCUACUUCUCCUGACCGCACAGCUUCAUAUUGC